rnacentral:tRNA from 1 species
GGAUAGCUCAGAUGGUUAGAGUAUGGUGCUGAUAUUGCCAAGGCUGCAGGUUUGAUCCUUGUAAGGGACA